UACGUAGGGUGCGAGCGUUGUCCGGAAUUACUGGGCGUAAAGAGCUCGUAGGCGGCUUGUCGCGUCGACUGUGAAAUCCCGCGGCUCAACUGCGGGUCUGCAGUCGAUACGGGCAGGCUAGAGUUCGGUAGGGGAGACUGGAAUUCCUGGUGUAGCGGUGAAAUGCGCAGAUAUCAGGAGGAACACCGAUGGCGAAGGCAGGUCUCUGGGCCGUAACUGACGCUGAGGAGCGAAAGCAUGGGGAGCGAACAGG
rnacentral:rRNA from 1 species